rnacentral:rRNA from 1 species
GCAUUGUAAUUUGUAGAGGAUGAUUUGGGGAAGCCGCCUGUCUAAGUUCCUUGGAACAGGACGUCAUAGAGGGUGAGAAUCCCGUAUGUGACAGGAAAUGGCACCCUAUGUAAAUCUCCUUCGACGAGUCGAGUUGUUUGGGAAUGCAGCUCUAAAUGGGAGGUAAAUUUCUUCUAAAGCUAAAUAUUGGCGAGAGACCGAUAGCGCACAAGUAGAGUGAUCGAAAGAUGAAAAGCACUUUGGAAAGAGAGUUAAAAAGCACGUGAAAUUGUUGAAAGGGAAGCGCUUGCAAUCAGACUUGUUUAAACUGUUCGGCCGGUCUUCUGACCGGUUUACUCAGUUUGGACAGGCCAGCAUCAGUUUCGGCGGCCGGAUAAAGGCUCUGGGAAUGUGGCCUCCACUUCGGUGGAGGUGUUAUAGCCCAGGGUGUAAUACGGCCAGCCGGGACUGAGGUCCGCGCUUCGGCUAGGAUGCUGGCGUAAUGGUUGUAAGCGACCCGUC